GGGCCCGCACAAGCGGUGGAGCAUGUGGCUUAAUUCGAGGCAACGCGAAGAACCUUACCUGGUCUUGACAUGCCCGUCAUAGUUUUCCGAAAGGAAUUCGUCAGUUCGGCUGGACGGUGCACAGGUGCUGCAUGGCUGUCGUCAGCUCGUGUCGUGAGAUGUUCGGUUAAGUCCGGCAACGAGCGCAACCCUCGUUCCUAGUUGCCAGCGGGUAAUGCCGGGGACUCUAGGAAGACAAACCUCGUGUAGAGGUGGGAAGGUGGGGACGACGUCAAGUCAGUAUGGCCCUUACGACCAGGGCUGCACACGUGCUACAAUGCUUGGUACAAUGGGAUGCAACACCGCGAGGUUGAGCUAAUCCACAAAACCAAGCCCAGUUCGGAUUGGAGUCUGCAACUCGACUCCAUGAAGUUGGAAUCGCUAGUAAUGG
rnacentral:rRNA from 1 species